ACAGACCCCAGAAGGUACCAAAUGAAAGGUACAACUAGUAAGGUCUAAAACAGUGAAUACAGACCGCAGACAAUAUCAAAUGAAAGAUACGUCUAGCAAGGUCUAAAACAAUGAACGCAGUGAACACAGUGAAUACAGUGGAUUCUGUGAAUACAGUGGAUACAGACCCCAGACAGCAUCAAAUGAAAGAUACGUCUUGUAAGGUCAAAACAGAGGAGACAGACCCCAGACAGUAUCAAAUGAAAGAUACGUCUUGUAAGGUCAAAACAGUGUGACUCUGAAAAUGAAUUACCAGCAUACAGUGUAAAUUGCUGGCGAAAUACCGUUACCUUAAGGCCAUGAAUUAUAAGGUAACCCGGGAUACUCGUAACCAUACUAACCGACACUAGAGUACCAGACGCCCUACAAGCGUCUAUAUAAUGUGACAUUUGUCACCCCUUGGCUUGGUGAGCCGUGGACUGUAGCUAGCAGUCAGGGUGCGGGGGUGUCAAUCCCGUAUAGAUCUAUACACACAAUGUCCGCUCUCCCUACAGGAGACUCUGGUUACCAACUAGACGACGGAGAAGGCCGUGUCCCGAAGAUGCAUCCCAAAUAGUGGGUAAUGACUUCCAAACAGUGGGUAGUGGGUUUCUAAUGUAAGUGUUGACCUAGAGGUAGAGACUCUUAACUGAAUUGACUGAAGAAAACCCGUAUGUCUAUGCUUGUGUACAUAAUAUAUAAAUAAUGAAUCAAACGACCUUCGGAUGGACAUUCGAUCCCACCAGACCACAUCUCAAUGAAGAAAAGGAAAUAGGGCGGACAAGCCUUCCUAAGUCCUUCAAUCAUUAUUUAUAUGCAUCUAUACAAGCAUAAACAUACAUCUAACUACGCUUGAGUGUGUAUCAAGUGGUAUCAUACAGUGAAGUAUAAGUGUACAGUGGAACAUCCGAGUCGUGAAGUAUAAGCGUACAGUGGAACAUCCGAGUCGUGAAGUAUAAGCGUACAGUGGAACAUCCGAGUCGUGAAGUAUAAGCGUACAGUGGAACAUCCGAGUCGUGAAGUAUAAGCGUACAGUGGAACAUCCGAGUCGUGAAUUAUAAGCGUACAGAGUGGGAUAAUCGAACCGUGAAGUAUAAGUGUACCAAGUAUAAGUGUAUCACGAAGCAGCGACGACAAUAAGUGAAGUAAGAGCGUCUAUCAAGUAUAAGAGGCUACAAGUAUAAGCGAUAUAGAGACAAAAUCCGGUAUAAGCGUAUCGCGAAGUGAAAGCGUUAUCGAGUAGGAAUUUAAAAUAAGUAAAAGUGAAGCAACAGUAACUAACAAGUGAAAGUAUUCAUGAAAACCUUGGAAAAACCUUAUUACUCAGGAAAAUCACAUUUGUAUUCUUUGGUAAAAUAAGUGUGAAAACCUUUAAAAAUCUUUGGGAAUCUUUCAUAAAUCAGUUUGAAAAUGGAGCUUUGAUAAAGCAAUAAAAGUAAGAACUUGAACAAGUGAAAAAACCCUUUUUGAAAGCCAUUUAUAGUGUCCUACUCGGUAAAACAGUGUACAGUGGUAAAAUCUUGUGCAUGCGGGUUAUCAAUCACAUGUGAUUGAUAUGAUAACUGGCAUGUUUAACUUGUAUUCCCCCCCAUAAAACAUGUAAAAACAUUUAAAAGGUUCAUUCAGGGGUAUGAACUCACCUGGUGUAAGUAGGUCCGACGAAGGUGCCGUUUGGGCGUUCGGUGUCACGCAAGGACUUGAACACACACAAUGACCUAUUUAACAUAUGAUAACAUAUGUUUACAUACAAUUAGCAUAUUUAAUACUAAUUAAACAAAUAUACGCGCUCACAGGAGCGGAAAACACUUUGGUUAAGUGUUUGGGUGUCCCGGGUAGCGUUUAAGGGUGUCAAUGGCUAAGGAAUGGAGCUUACUAUCCAAGAGUACACUCCCAAUGUUGUGUUUACGGCCCAGGGACAUCUCACCAUGAGUUUACGGCCGUAAACUCAUGGUGAUGGGUUCUAGGGUGUUUAAGGCUUCUAGCUUGCUCAUGGAAUUAUUCUAAGUACUUUUCAUAAAAGGCAUGAGUGGUUUUGAGGCUUCUAAGGGCAUUAACUUGGAGUUUACGGCCUAGGGACACUCCUAAGGGAGUUUACGGCCGUAAACUCUCACCCUUAGAGUUUUGUGAAGUUUCAAGCCCCUAUUACCUUUCUAGCAAUUUCUAAUGAAGUGUGAUGCUAUUUUGGGGGAUUAAAACUAUCAUUUGGAUGUGUUUUGGGGAGUUUACGGCCUAGACACUUGCUUGGGCCGUAAACUCCUUUUAGUCCCUCCAUUUCUUGUGUUUAAGCCCUUAAAUCCUUCCUAGUAUUUUAUGGUAAAUGUCUAAGGCCAUUUGGGGAAGCAAAACCACACUUUGGGCAUGAUUUGGGGUGUUUACGGCCUUGGUAUAGACCUGGGCCGUAAACUCCUUUUUAUCCUUCAUUUUAAUGUGUUUAAUUGAUCCAAACCCCAAAUACUAAGUCCCUAAAUUAUGUAUGAAGCCUAAGGGUGGUUUGGGAGUGUUUUUGGGGCAUUUUGACAUGGUUUUGAGGGGUUUACGGCCUAAGCAUGUGCUUGGGCCGUAAACUCACUUUUAUGCCCUAAAUCAUUGUGUUUUGAUGUUUAAACACUCCUAGGCUAGAUCCCUAAUUAGUUUCCAAGCUUAAGGGCAAGUUUAAAGGCAUGUUUGGCACCAUUUUAGGGGUUUACGGCCCUAGAGUGUUCCUGGGCCGUAAACUCCUUAUCCCAUGCCUUCUUGGAUGGUUUUUGGGCUAUAACUACAGCUAGUAAUGUUUAGAACAAGCUAGGGUAAGCGGACUUACAAUUUGGAAGCAUUUGGUUGCAAAUUCUGGGCGAAAACGGGUCUAGAGAGAGAGUGUAAAAAGUCUCCAAUGGACUCCACUCACCCUUAUAUAGGGUUCAUAGUCGGGGCUCAGCGGAAUUUUACCCGAUACUACCGUUAAACGAGGCUUUUGGUCGCACUCGAUUUAGUGGUUGUAAUAAUAAAACUUAACAUUUUCCAAAUAAAUGGAAAUGUGUGUCCUUUGUUUUCAUUUCCUUUUAUCACGACUUAAUCGCAUGUUAAAUGUAAGCAAAUGGAAUGUUUAUUAAAUUGACGCCCUCUAAUUAACGGAACUUUUAUACAGUGGAAUAUUCCAUUAACGGUAACGGGGAAAUGUAACGGGACAAUUUCGGUUGUCACAUCAUCCCCCCGUUAGAGGGAAUUUUGUCCCGAAAUUCAGGUCUAAUGAAGGAAGUAGGUAUGAAUGGCCAUGUAUAGGUAAGAGAGUACUUCCUAUACGGUUGUCCUCGCAUUCCCAUGUGAUCUCUGGUCUGUGUUUGUCAUUCCAACAGACCCUCACGUACGGGAUGCGGAUUCCGUCUAGUGUAGCUAGUGGGUUUCCAACUUGUGUAUCUAUAGGGUUAGAGAUCUCAAUGGAUUCUAUCAAGAUGAUUAAGGCACGAAGAGUGUUGUCGGGAAUCACAUAUCCAGUCUACGAAGUGGAUCGAUCGGGUGUGAAUCCUGUGGUAUAUCCGAGGGUAGUAACGGCUUGAAAGGGGUUGGACCAUGACUCCAUGAGGAUUCUCGGAUGGUCCUACGCUCUCGGAAUGGGUAGAGCUUCUCAGUACUAAGAACAUAGUGUACGUCUAUGGCAAGAUCAUCACUGGCGUGAUCGCCAUUCCGAAGUUCCUAACGUUCUCUCUCGUAUUGGUAGUGUAGUCCUUCAGGUUGGUUCUUAGAAAUCUCAAGUGGUCUUUGGUUUUAUGUUUUCUGUCAACUGGCUGAUAUAGACUUUCUAGGUCGUCGAGUGGGUUGCGUGACUAUGGUUAUCGGUUUGCUGUAGAGUGUCUAUCUCAAGUUUGUGCAAAAUGGACAUGCACUAACGGGUGUUGGACUAUCUCGGGAGGUGGUUCUACUAUCUCUACGUGAGAUAGUAUUCGUGGAACACCUAAUAGUCCAAUGAAUCUCUAAGACUUCGGUUUAUUCUGGUGUGGAAAGUGCAUGCUCCUGCAUAACCCCUCGACUAACACCAAGGCUGGUGUCGAGUCUAUAAUCUCUUCGGGAUCAGGGUUACGAGGCUUAACGCAACCACGUUCACACUUUACCAAGUAUUCUUGGCUGCGAAGGUUAUCCUGUGGUUCUCGGUAUCCUAGUGUUCACUUCAGAGAAUGAAGUCUAUCGUCUAAAGGGCGACGACGAUUUCCUCCAUACGAGAGGGUGGAGGAUGAUAGGCACUGCUCGUCUAUAACUGGGCGGACGAAGUGCCUGAGUAACGCGAGCAUAAUCUACAACUACUCCUCCGAAGGUUCUGAGUUUUCUCGGUCUAGGUCAAAUCUAGUGGGUAUAGGGUCUCCCGGGGGAUUCUACGGAGUAUGCUUCGGAUGGUGGUCGUCUUCUUAGAGUAUCUGCAGUGCCUUUUGCUUCGGUGUUUAUCUGACUACGAGGGGUCGGUCAACAGUGUGCGGUACCUUCCCUUGGGUACUUCGGAAGGUUUUGGGAUAAGAGGGACGAUUGACGGAUCGCAUUAGGUUUGAUUAUUUGUGUUAGGUUUAGGUUCUGAUGAACCUUUAUUUGCCGACAUGGCUACGGAGAAAGUUCUUUUACACAACACUAAAGGUGAACACAUGGUUGAACGAAGUCAAACCAUGAUUGAUAGGGUCGUCAAAGUUGGCACACUUCGAUCUGAUAUAAAGUGAAGAUCGAUAGAGUCAUGUGCCGAACAGGCACACAAGUUCUAGGCGUCUCGGGGUUUCGUCCUAUGUAUCACUACCGCGGAUACUUGGACCAAUAGAGUCGACGCGGAACUAUAGAGAGCCCUAAGUGUUUCCAAAUAGAGUAUCUUUUCAUGAACGGAUUCUCACGAGGCAUUUCUAUAAUCGCCUCACAUAUACUAGUCAUGUAUAUUUAAGGUGGGGAGGACUAUUGACUGAGCGACCCCGCCCUAAAUCCACAACCAAACGAGGAACAGGAAAUGAGGCGGCAUUCACUCACUCUAGGUCUGUCCAUCUUAAAUAUACAUGGCCGUAACGUAUAUGUUUAGCCAUUAUAGUUUUACCUAAUGAAUUUUAAAUUUUAUAACAGUGCUGCGACUUUCGCCUUACUGGGAAGAAUUUACACUUGAAUUAGUCUUUUGUUGUUCUUAGUUUAGUUAUCCGAGAUCGAGAGACGUACCAAAAAUCUAACGAGUUCCUUGCUGCUUCUCCCUAAGCAGUAGUGUCAGGCUCCUUCAGUGUCUUUGUUGUUUCUUUCAGUUGGGCAAUCCCUUUUGAAGUGUCCCAUUUUACCACAUAGGUGGCAAACUGUACGGGUCGCCACAUUGGUGGUUGAUGUAAUGAACUCAACUGGGGUUCUGCAGACGCGAGCAGUAUGCCCCAACAUGUGGCACCUAGCACAAUAGAGUUCCCGGCAGGCACCAUGAUGAUGGUAGUUGCACUUGCUGCAGUGGGGAAGGUCUCCUAGGUAUGGUUUUCUUGGAGUCGGGAGGGAAGGAUUUACAGGAGCAUUGGCCGUCUCAGCUCGUCGCCCUUCGGAAGGUCCUUGAGCCGAGGUACUUCCCUACUCAAUCUUGAGUUUCCUCUUUAGUGGGUUCGAUUGAGGUUCUUGGAUGACUGGGUAUGAAAGUGUUGGUUGCUGCUGUCCAUCGCCAGGAUUGGAAAUCCCGACAGGGGCCUUGCUAACAUUGGCAGGGUUAGCAUUCAGGUGAGCCAUGACAGCUGCUACGGCUNCUGCAGCUUGGAACGUAGCUUCAUCGAAUAAGAGAGCAGGUUUCUUGCUUGUGGUUUGGUUACGCUUCUUCGGUGGCAUGGUUUUUCCUACAUGGAAAUGAAUACAAGAUAAUGAGGGACGAUAGUUAACCCUGGACAUUUCUGUCCUGAACGUAUUAGGCAUAAAUAUUUCUCGUGCCUCGGGUACUGGUUGUCUGAGUGCCGACCUACAUCCCUAUGAUGUAGUCCUGGUAAUCGAAGUGAGUGUAUGAGUAUCGGAAAAAGGCCAUAAGAUGCGAGUCGUUCCUACUAAGUUACCUUUAUACUAGAGAAGGUUUCACUCACCGGCCUGGAGAUAUUUGAGAACAGUUCGGAACGAAACUGCGGAAAGAGAGGCUCACAAGGGCAGAUGGCUAAAAUUCUCUCAGUAAAGAUGCGGGGAUCCGCCCUAAUCAUGUAUUUGGAAAUGGGAAACGACGAUUUACCUAACACAUAGUGUGAGUAGUGUAACCACUAACUCACUAAAUUGUAUUAUUUUAAGGGUGAACUAUCGUGAUGAAUACGAGGAAAAGACAAUUCUCGGGUUUCAUGUACUGGCUACCUUUGUCUGCCUCGUAUCUUUGACUGGAAUCGGCGUUGGUUUCCUUUGGGUAGUUUCCUAGGGUUCUCUUCUCGUAUGGACAUAUUGAAUUUCUACUCCGCCUUCCUUCUGAUUCCAACUGUGGGUGUCAUCACUUCAUGAUGGAUGACUGGGAAUCUCCAAGGUUUAGGUGAAUUCCUCACCGAAUGUCCCUAAAAGAAUAUAGGCACCUGGUGAAUUCAAUAGUCUCGACCCAGUUCAUUUAUUUACGAACAGGAAAUCUUCUCAAUGAACCUUUUCAGGGUCGGAAUCAACUCUUCUGUCAAGCACUGAAGUGGGUAGGAUUUUCUACAGGGUUCACGCGAGAAUGGAAAUGUCUAAAGAAUCCUAAGAGAUUAUUAACAUUUCACUGGAUGAUCCAUAUCGAGUCCUGCUAUGAUUACACAGGGUAUACAAAUCAUAUAUAGCUUAAAUCCGAUAGGCCUUCGAAUAUGUGAUACUACUCUAGAACCACAUCCCAACGAGGAAAAGGAAAUAGAGCGAAACCACACAUUCUUAGCCUAUGGGAUCCUUAUUAUAUAUAACUCUGGGAGUAUACUCUCUGUAGUUGUAGGUAUAUCAAUAAGGAUCUUUUUAGUUAUUCACGCAAGGUUGCUUAUGUAUUCUAAAAUACCCCUAUGGUAUUUUAAUUCUUGUUUGAUUCUUAUCUUCUGAAUAUGAUUCUGGGUUUAUUGUGAAUCUUUUAGCGUUCCAAAAUACUCCUAUAGUAUUUUAACUUUACGUUUGGCUCUAGCAUUCCUAGUUUGUAAGUUUCAGACCUGUUGCACACCACUAUCACUCCCGAGCACACGUUCAUCGCAUCUCGGAUAAAUGUAGUUGAUUAGGUUACAUUUAUCCCAACUUACGAUUACAUAACUGCCCAAGUUUGACUGUAGGGCUCAACAUCCGAAGACUUUUAUUAUUGUUCUUCUUGUGAUACGUUUGUUUGAGUGUUUAGAUUUUGGAUGUUAUUAUACUUUGGUAAAAUAUGGUUAUAUUUUAAAGUAUAAUUCUUGGUCAGAGUGUUUUAUCCCAUUGUGUUUAUAGGUUGUAUAUCUUUUAUGAAUUGAUAUACUUAGCUCACUAUAAACAAUGCUCUGAUACCAAUCUGUCACACCCCAAAACCGGAACGGCGGAAACGUUCUGGGGUGGAUGACGUCAUGUCAAGUAUCACAACACAUGCAUUAUAGUAAUCAAAGUACAACAAAACAUUGCAUUAAUAGUAAUAUUUUUUACAUAGUUACAUUACAAUACAUCAAAGUAAUACAGACAAAUAUAAUAAGUACAGCAAGGUAAUAAGCUAUCUUCGUCAACUGCUCCGAGGUGUACCUGUCUAAUGCUAACCUGAGAAUACAAGUUAUUUGAAAAGCGAGUAUCAACAUUUUUACAAAUGCUGGUGAGUUCAUAAGCAUUUAGUGACGUUUUAUUCAAAUAACUUAAAUAAGUAAUAGUUUAAGUGUUUACUGUGUAUUAGAGUUCUUUCCAGAAAAUCCUAUAUUUUCUUUAAUAAAAGCAGCCUUCUACCAAGACUGGUCAGUGUUAUGUGGUAAAAAGUAGUUUUCCCUAAAUUGCUAUCAUUAUCAAAAUACUGAAUUUGAUUAUUAAAGAAAGCAAGAGACAACAGGGAAAUAACAUAUGCCUCAGCAGUGAGGACUGCUGACUAAGGCAAGGAAUCAUAGACUCCAGGAAAGUAUCGAACAAACGACACGCCUGGUUCAGUCUAACAAGUGGAGACACAGACCCCAGAAGGUACCAAAUGAAAGGUACAACUAGUAAGGUCUAAAACAGUGAAUACAGACCGCAGACAAUAUCAAAUGAAAGAUACGUCUAGCAAGGUCUAAAACAGUGAACACAGUGAAUACAGUGAAUACAGUGGAUUCUGUGAAUACAGUGGAUACAGACCCCAGACAGCAUCAAAUGAAAGAUACGUCUUGUAAGGUCAAAACAGAGGAGACAGACCCCAGAC
rnacentral:lncRNA from 1 species